rnacentral:rRNA from 1 species
GGGGGCCCGCACAAGCGGNGGNAGCAUGUGGUUUUAAUUCGAAAGCAACGCGAAGAACCUUAACCAGGUCUUGACAUACUCGUGCUAUUCCCUAGAGAUAGGAAGUUCNUUCGGGACACGGGAUACAGGUGGUGCAUGGUUGUCNNUCAGCUNCGUGUCGUGAGAUGUUGGGUUAAGUCCCGCAACGAGCGCAACCCUUAUUGUUAGUUGCCAUCAUUAAGUUGGGCACUCUAGCGAGACUGCCGGUAAUAAACCGGAGGAAGGUGGGGAUGACGUCAAAUCAUCAUGCCCCUUAUGACCUGGGCUACACACGUGCUACAAUGGUUGGUACAACGAGUCGCAAGACAGUGAUGUCAAGCUAAUCUCUUAAAGCCAAUCUCAGUUCGGAUUGUAGGNUGCAACUCGCCUACAUGAAGUCGGAAUCGCUAGUAAUCGCGGAUCAGCACGCCGCGGUGAAUACGUUCCCGGGUCUUGUACACACCGCCCGUCACACCAUGGGAGCGGGUUCUGCCAGAAGUAGUUAGCCUAACCGUAAGGGGGGCGAUUACCACGGCAGGGUUCGUGACUGGGGUGAAGUCGUAACAAGGUAGCCGUAUCGGAAGGUGCGGCUGGAUCACCUCCUU